AACCACAGCGUGUUCUACCUCAAGGAAUGGUUCUGGAACCAAGAGCUCAGUUCACCUUCCUAAGUGGAGCAUUCAAGGGUAAAGUGGAGGAAGAAGGAUUGGGAUGGUAAAUUUCCCAAACAGUACACAUAGAGCAAGGAGGGUAGGAUGAGGGAGCUGGGCCUGUUCAGCCUUGAGAAGAGAAAGCUGAGAGGGGACCUCAUCAAUGUCUGUGACUGAGCACUGGAACAGACUGCCCUUGCUGGAGAUGUUCAAGAAGUGUCUGGAGGCAUCCUGUGCAGUGUGCUCUGCUUGAGCAGGGAGGCUGGAUCAGAUCACCACUGUGGUCCCUUCCAGCCUCACCCAUACUGUAAGUUCUGUUAUAGCUCAAAUAUUAAGGCUGAGCUAACAGUGCUUUUCAGAGAAUAAAAUUUGUGUGGUAUGU